rnacentral:rRNA from 1 species
GUGCGGAACACGUGUGCAACCUGCCUUUAUCUGGGGGAUAGCCUUUCGAAAGGGAGAUUAAUACCCCAUAAUAUAUUUAUCGGCAUCGAUAGAUAUUGAAAACUCCGGUGGAUAGAGAUGGGCACGCGCAAGAUUAGAUAGUUGGUGAGGUAACGGCUCACCAAGUCUACGAUCUUUAGGGGGCCUGAGAGGGUGAUCCCCCACACUGGUACUGAGACACGGACCAGACUCCUACGGGAGGCAGCAGUGAGGAAUAUUGGACAAUGGGUGAGAGCCUGAUCCAGCCAUCCCGCGUGAAGGACGACGGCCCUAUGGGUUGUAAACUUCUUUUGUAUAGGGAUAAACCUACUCUCGUGAGAGUAGCUGAAGGUACUAUACGAAUAAGCACCGGCUAACUCCGUGCCAGCAGCCGCGGUAAUACGGAGGGUGCAAGCGUUAUCCGGAUUUAUUGGGUUUAAAGGGUCCGUAGGCGGAUCUGUAAGUCAGUGGUGAAAUCUCACAGCUUAACUGUGAAACUGCCAUUGAUACUGCAGGUCUUGAGUGUUGUUGAAGUAGCUGGAAUA